rnacentral:rRNA from 1 species
UACGUAAGGGGGCAAGCGUUGUCCGGAAUCAUUGGGCGUAAAGCGCGUGUAGGCGGCCCGAUAAGUCCGCUGUGAAAGUCCAGGGCUCAACCCUGGAAUGCCGGUGGAUACUGUCGGGCUCGAGUCCGGAAGAGGCGAGUGGAAUCCUGGUGUAGCGGUGAAAUGCGCAGAUAUCAGGAGGAACACCGAUGGCGAAGGCAGCUCGCUGGGACGGUACUGACGCUGGAGACGGCGAAAGCGUGGGGAGCGAACAGG